UCUCCAAUAGCUCAGUCGGUAGAGCGACCGGACUGUUAAUCCGCAGGUCCCUGGUUCGAGCCCAGGAUGGGAGAGCCA
rnacentral:tRNA from 1 species